AUGUAUAGGAAAAAAUCCUGGUCUAUAUGGGAUUGGGUACUAUGCAUGGCUUCAGGAGUCUACUUGGAACAUAUCUCUUGGAUAUGGUCUUGGAACAUAUCUCUCAUGGAUAGCGGGGCCUGAGAGUACCUUCAUGUUCUUCUCAACUUGCCUAAUUUGACUGUGCCUCUGAUUCCUGUCCAUACAAAAAUGUGAAUGCACUUACCCAAGGUCACACAGUUGGCACGUAGCUCCAGCCUUUUAGAGGAAACAACUAAACCCACAUCUAAUAGUUGAUUGGCACAUGCUCCUCGUGUUUUCCGGCACCUUUGGGAAGAUGAACAAGAAAGACACUUGAGGACAGGCACUCAUUAUUGUAUCCUUUUCAGCAUGAGGCUUAGCCUAGUGCCUGCCAAAGCCAUAACACAACUCUCAUCAAUGUGAACUUAUCAGAGGGAAACGGAGCGCUCGCACAAGAACAGGGUCAACCUCAGCAAACUCUUAAGAUGUGGAUGUACCUUAGGUCUCCAGCUCCCUGCCCACCUGCUUCCAGGGACCCCACGGAGGCCUCUGCUGAAACACUCUCCAGGUCUCCAUCCUCAGAGUCCUCUCCCAGGUAUAAAAGGUCAUCCCUGCACCUGCUCUCCACUCUGCCAGAUGGCUCCUGCCCGGGGGUGGGAGGUGGGAUGAGAGCUCACCUCUCUGGGAUGUAGAAGGCAUGUUGUUAUUCAAAGGACUGAUUUUCUGGUCAUAAGUUCAGAUACCACGUCAAGCCCGGUUGCUGAUACUUUAUGUCACCCAGCUUUUAAGAGAUUCUGAAAAUAAAAUUAUAUCAUGUA